rnacentral:miRNA from 1 species
UCUUCCUCUUCCUCCUCCUCUUCCUCUUCCUCCUCCUCUCUUCUUCUAAAAAUGGCAUCUUUUUACUGUUUUGGGAUGCAAACUUCUCUUAUCUCUCUGAGGAGAUUAAAUCUAUUUAAAUUUUUUUUUUCUUUUUACGCAAUGCCUCACAGUUCAUAAUUUUUAGAACUAAGAUUCAAAAUCAGGCAAUCUGACCCCAGAGCCUGCUCUCUUGACCAUUGUACUAAAAUG